rnacentral:rRNA from 1 species
UACGGGGGGGGCAAGCGUUGUUCGGAAUUACUGGGCGUAAAGGGCUCGUAGGCGGCCAACUAAGUCAGACGUGAAAUCCCUCGGCUUAACCGGGGAACUGCAUCUGAUACUGGAUGGCUUGAGUUCGGGAGAGGGAUGCGGAAUUCCAGGUGUAGCAGUGAAAUGCGUAGAUAUCUGGAGGAACACCGGUGGCGAAGGCGGCGAUCCUGGACCGACACUGACGCUGAGGAGCGAAAGCCAGGGGAGCAAACGGGG